GCCCAAGCCGAGUCCAAUGCACAACACACAAAAAUCUAUCAGCAUGAAACAAAGGACUAAACGCUCCUGCAGCAAAAGGUUGAAAGCGCUUCUCAAACAAUCCCGAGUCAGUAUCGCGUUUCGGCGUCCCACACCCAACAUCACGUCUCAGCAUUCCACAUCCAACAUCACGUUCAUCGCUCCACAAGCUCAUGGUUUCGCGUUCAUGAUCCGACCUUAUCGCAUUUUCCGCCAUUACUGUCACAAACUCAUUGAUCUAAAGCUUCCUCCAUCGUGGAUUCAAUCAACCACAAAAAUAAUUGUGCCUAACCCCAACAAAUUGGAUCAAAACUGAAAUAAAAAUUUACACCACAAAGAUCGAGAUAAAAACGAAUGGAAGUAAGAGGAACUCACCGGAUUUUACACGGCGACAAAAAAAUCAGGGCAAAGCCGAGGGUAAUGAUGAUGCAGAGCGGCCAAAUUUAUGCAGAAUCGAGCUUUAUGCAGGAUGAAGAGAGUUCCUGCAGAAUGAAAGGCUUUUUGCAGAACAAAGAGAAUGGAUGAUGCAGGAUGGAAUGGCUUCGUGCAGAAUCAAGAAAUUUCAAAAUGAAGAAGUUGCAGAAAAUGUGAAGAUUGCAGGUUGAAGAAGAAAUGAGUGCAGAAAGAAGAAGAAAUGAAGAUCUCAGAUUGAAGAAUGGAAAGGUUGAUAUCAAAGUUAAAAGAUUAAGCAAAUGGUGGAAAUCUGUGAAACUCUUGAUGGUAAGAAGGGAGGCAUUUUUGCUGCUGCUGCUGAUAUCUGCAUGAAGCUUUAUCACAUGAAUGAUCGAUUGACAUUUCAACUGCAGAACAAACAACCGGAACCUCUUUUGAGUUGUCGAGGCCCCUUAAAAACUCAACCCAGUUAGGUACUAACCCAAGCUCGACAGCAGUACAUGUGAUAUUACUAAACAAUGGUAAUGGUUAGAUGUGUUACGGUGGAACAAGAAGAACCCAAAAAAAAUGGGGACGGGCUUAUUAGAAAACAACGUUUGACUUUAGUCAACCUUGCUAACUACAUUCUAUGUAAUUUGUGUAUGUACCGUGCAACUUGAUACUUAAAUGUAAUGAAAAGUUUGUUCGUAAAAUA